GUCCUCGUGUAGCCUACAUCCAUGAGAUGUCUAAUUGCCCAGUGAUACUUGCCCUUCAUCCUCCAAGUUGGAUCCGCCAUCGUGACGUCGACUG